UGAUCUGCCUCAGCUCCCAGUUGAUGCGCACGUCCGUCGUCGUCCCGCCCAACCCCGUCUCCAUGGCCGAAUGAUUGGCAUUAGUUUAAUCCCCGCCCUCAUUCCCCGGCCGAUCUUUUUCCUGCCAAUGGGAAGUGAAGUCACUCACUCGAGUGCCUUUGUUAGUUUGCGUGAGGUAGAAAGCCACUCGGUACUAUCCACCACGUCCCCUAGCUCCUUUUCGGCCCCCGCGCACCUCUCUAAAUCCUCUCGUCCGUCCGUCCGUCCACAGACCACAGCUGGGAUCCCGAUCAAUGGCGCGGAGGGGCGGUGGCGGUGGCGACCGGCGGCGGCAGCGCUGGGGCGCGGAGUGGGGAGGGUGUGGCGACGGCGGCGAGGUGAUCACCUGAAGGAUUUGCUAUCGUGGUAGGCAAGUCUGAUUCUUGGCUGAUGUCGUCCUCCUACACAAUGGCAAAACAGUGUCUUCUUUUUUUUUUUCUUUUUCUUUCUCUUUCUCUGUCCCUUUUCCGGUUCUCCCUUCUGUUGGGGCACUGGAUUUUCUUUCGACUCUCUCAUCCAUCAGGUCCUGCGGCUCACGUCGAUCUGUUCAGAACAGUUGCUCGAGUGUCUCUGCUCAUCUGUCGUGUGUAUGGAGUUGUGUGCUGCCAUGGUGCGUUGUGUGUGUGUGUGUGUGCGUGUCCUGGUCUUAAGGAUACUAUAUAUGUAAACACAGUCUGAGAGGAAUGGCGGGUGUUGUGAUAAGGAGGCAAACGAAAAUGCAUAGGUUGCGUGUUUGGUGAAUAAUUCUGGGCGUUUUGUAGUCAUGUUAUUAAAGUUUAAACGUGUCUCCCAUCUUUUUUUUUCUGCCUGGAGAUUUCGUGUCUCUGUUCAUUCAUUCUUCGUACACCCUACAGUGGCGGACGCAGGACCAAAAUUCAUGGGGAGCCAAAAAAACACAUUACAACUGAGAAAGAGGCGGGGUCAGAUGAUGUCUCCAACUGAGAGCCAGGGCUCGCUGGUUCGUCAAGCUCGCCAGUUGUCGGGGACGGAUCGCAUCGUCGAGACGAGCGAGGUUGGGUUUGCCAAGAGCGGGAUGGUGUCAUGACGAUAACGAGCGAGACGAGGACGUUGGGAAGGGGGCCAGUGUUAGGCGACGUCAGGCGUCAAGAAGGAGGCGGUGGUGUCAAGAACGGAGCAUCUGGGCGGAUUGGCCCCGGCAGGUCGGGACGUCAGAAGAAACGGGACCUGAUGGAUAGAUGCGAGAACUAGAUCAAAGAGGAUGGAAGUUGAGAGAACUGCUCAGGGCAAUUUUAGCCUAUCCAAACCUUAUUUUUAUAUAUUUUACAGUAGGUUAACAUUAGGUAUAAGAGGUUAUACAAAAUUGAGGCGGGCGUCGAAAAGAAUGAGACUGGAUGAAUAGAUGUGAGGAUUAUACCAAGUAAAAGGAUGAGAGUCGAUAGAACUAGACUAAUUCGACGAGGAUACCCAUAACAGAACUGUUUUAGCCUAUCUAAAUCUUUAUUUUAAAUAUAUUUAACAGUAAAUAAACAUAAUAUAUAAAAGGUCAUAAAAAUUGAGGGGGGCCACGGCCCACUUUGCCCCCCUGUGCGUCCGCCCCUGUCUAUAUACGUGUGUACACUCUGUGGUCGAUACAUGACAUGAAUGCAUUUAAAAUUAACUAGUCGGUUGCCCAUGCGUUGCAACGGAUUAUAACAAUACCCACUUAAACUAUCCACUAAAUUUUUUUAAGAUUUUUUAUUGAUUGUCUCCACUCUCUAUAUAAUAUUUUUUUUGAUUUGGCUAACUGAUGUUAUUGUUUACUCCAUUCAAUAUAUCUUGGUACAACACGGUCAAUGAAGUGAGCGAUUAGAAGAGAUUUCACAAUGACUGACUGAACGAACAGAGAUUAUAAAAUGACAUAAUUCCACCAUACAUAGACCAAAUAAGAGAAAGUUUGUAAGCUUAAGUUUUAAAAUAAGGCACAUGAAGUCAAACUUAUAAAAAAGAUAGAUCAAAAUAUGAAGUGAUUGCUAAAGUCACGCAUCAAUAAAAACUGGAUGCGCUCCAUAUAAAUUAUGCUACUUCGUAGCAAUUACUAACGUUUAAAACCAACAAAUAACCUUUCAUUUUACUGUUAGUGUGAUAAAUCAUUGUUGCUUCAUCCAAUUCAGCAACCUCAAACACCAUGAAGUCUAUUGCGCCAAAGUGGUCUUCGAAACUACCUAAUGCUUGCAAGAGCCAAAAACGUCGUGUCGUGCUUGGGUUGUAGCCUCGGCCCGUAGUGCUGCCCCGGCCCAACACAAUUAUAUAUUUUUUAUUUUACAAAAAAAAACGUAUAUACAUAUAUACAAUUUAUAUUCAAUAUUAAAAAUAUCUAAGCAUGAUGUUCUACUGGUUAGAUAGUUUUACCCAGUGUCUCCCACCCUUCUUCCAUCAGGGCAUGUGUUCGAACCCAUCUUCUACACCGUUUUUAAUAUUUUACGCUGAUUUAAUCAAAUGGGUCGACGUGCCUGGACCAGAGUUAUGGCCCGCUGGCGUCUGGCCCAUGCCGGGCCGCCGUUUGGCCAUCUAUAGGCGUGCAACGGAUUAAUUUGAAAUAACAGUGAGGGGUUAUUUGUAAAAAGAUGACGUGGUACGACCGUUGAAACUGGUGCUUUAAAUAAAAUAUAGAUAUACAUGUAUAUUGUAUUUUAUGUUGGUUGCAUCUCAUAUUACUGUUGUGUGCAAAGUUAUAAAACUACGUUUACUGUUGUACGAUAGCUACUUACAAUUGUUCAGUAAUUACUAAAAAUUACCGAGUGAAUGAAGCUUCACCCUCGUUAACAAAUGGCACAUGUAUGUUUAUACAUUGAUUAUAAUUUAUGGUUGUGGUUUUUAGUGUAUUUUUUUGAAGUUUCUAGAAAUAUUGUAGGAAACGGUGACGCCUAAGAGGGGGAGUGAAUUAGAACUUCUAAAACUUUCUCUAAACUAGGCCACAAUUAAAUCCCUAGAGCAAAACCUAUGUAAAUAAAUAAUCUAUAAUGUGCAAAAUAGGUUUUGUCUAAGUGUUGCUAUCUCUACCGCAAUGGCUAUGUUUCAAUCUAAAUAAUCUAACUAGAGAGACAAGAUUGAAACUUAAAUACUUAAUAUAAAUGCGUAAAGCGCAAGGUAGAGAAUCAAACUGUCGUGGAUGACGCCGGUAUUUUUACUGAGGUAUCCGGAACCACGCAAGGUCCCGACUAAUCCUCGUUGUAGCCCUACGUAAAGGGAAGCCCACGCGAGGGCCAAGCACCACGGUCGAGUAACUCCAUAGAGAGCCAAGCACCAAGGCGAGCCACCUCUUGCUUUAAUUGGUUAUUCUCCUUUGCAACUUCAUUUAAAAAUGUUUCUACAACAAUAUUCUCAACGAGAACUUGGUUGCAAGGAUUAGAAUCAUCAAUUAAAUCAAAGCAAGAAGUAGAAGCAUCUUUCUUAAUAAUUUCAGGUAUUUCAACCAGUGGCGGACGCAGGACCAAAAUUCAUGGGGGGCCAAAAAACACAUUACAACUGAGAAAGAGGCGGGGUCAGAUGAUGUCUACAACUGAGAGCCAGGGCUCGCUAGUUCGUCAAGCUCGCCAGUUGUCGGGGACGGGUCGCAUCCUCGAGACGAGCGAGGUUGGGUCUGCCAAGAGCGGGAUGGUGUCAUGACGAUAACGAGCGAGACGAGGACGUUGGGAAGGGGCCAGUGUUAGGCGACGUCAGGCGUCAAGAAGGAGCCGGCGGUGUCAAGAAUGGAGCAUCUGGGCGGAUUGGCCCCGGUAGGUCGGGACGUCAGAAGAAAUGGGACCUGAUGGAUAGAUGCGAGAACUAGAUCAAAGAGGAUGGAAGUUGAGAGAACUGCUCAGGGCAAUUUUAGCCUAUCCAAACCUUAUUUUUAUAUAUUUUACGGUAGGUUAACAUUAGGUAUAAGAGGUUAUACAAAAUUGAGGCGGGCGUCGAAAAGAAUGAGACUGGAUGAAUAGAUGUGAGG
rnacentral:lncRNA from 1 species